CUAUGACAUUUUAUGUCAUGGCGGAAGGAG
rnacentral:ncRNA from 1 species